AAAGUCGUAACAAGGUUUCCGUAGGUGAACCUGCGGAAGGAUCAUUAUUGAAUCCUCAGGAUGUUGCUGGCUCUUCGGAGCAUGUGCACUCCGCCUUUUCAAUCCACCUGUGAACUUAUUGUAGGCUGGAUGUAACAGUCCAUGCCUAUGUCUUCAUAAACCCUUUAUAAAAGUCUAUGGAAUGUCUUGUUGUAGGCCUUAUGGUCAAAAAAUUAAUACAACUUUCAACAAUGGAUCUCUUGGUUCUC
rnacentral:misc_RNA from 1 species